ACAGGGUCUGACUGUGCAGGCAGAAGACAUUUUGCUCAUUUGCUCUGCUCUUUCCUUUAGCUACUCUCUGCUCUCAGGUGUCUGUACUUCUCGAUUUUCCCACCUGUAUGGGCAUUUUUUUUCUGGAAAAGUCCUGGGACAUAACAGCUCUUGUAGGCCCUGCUGAAAAGAGACUUGUCCAAUGACUGGAAGCUGUUCAACAAUAAAGCUACAAUGUCGUAGACUCCAAAAAAGAGCUGGAGAGUGCGGAGCUGCAGCCGGCUGCAUGGACGGAAGGAUGGAGGGAUGCGGCAGCUGACUGACUGGCUGCAGGGCUGGGGCUUCCAAACGUUUAGGGUUUCUGCACUGCACGGACUCCCCUUUAUUGCUGCCAAUCAAACUGCUGGGAAGACAACACCCCGAGUUGCUGCCACGAAACUGGAGAGAAAAACGCACAACUUCAUCAGGGGCUGCAGUAUUACACCUAGAUGUGACUAGACAUACCAGAACUGAUGCAAAAUCACAAUGGAUCCCAGCGACAGUCACUGGAGAAGAGGAUUUGUAAGAUUUGCUCAUAGAAGCAUUCUGUAUAGAUUUUGAAGAAGAACCCAUCCCUGGCUGUAAUCUACAUCCUGUUCUGUGACUAGAUGACAAGGGGAUCUGUUACCUGAUGACCACCCAAGGGUCACCUUCCUCUCCAACUUCCGGAGCCCUCCGCAGGCACUACGUUUACUGGACAAUGCUCACAAUGUUUGCUGACAAUUUUCAUAGCACAGAGUACACAUUGCUCUGUUAUUUAAUACAAAAAAGAUCAAUAUCAUCAAAUCUACCAAAGCAUUUUUUAUUGAAACACAGAAUAAAUGGUUAGAUUGCAAAGAACAAAUUAAACCAGGCUGAUAAAUUUAACAUAAAUAUAGAAAUGUGAAAUGUUUCCUAUAAAAUCACAGGCACAGUUCAUGUGUAGUGUAAAGAGGCAGCAAUGCUAUAAAACAUACAUAGGUAUUACACACUCCUAGAAUGUACAAAUUAUCACCAGAAACCUCUCAUUUCUUAAAGAAAGGUUAAGUCUUUUUCUUAGGUUUUGACCCCUUUUGUGUAUCCCCCUGUCACUGCUGAUGGGUAUUACUAAUAUGUAGUGAAUGCUAGCACCUUUGUAUUCUGCUCCCUGCUUUGGAUUACUUUCCGUAUAAUUACCUAGGACCCCAUGCUAGGAGAACGUGCAGCUAUAGGUUGUGGCAAUUUGGGGGCCCCAGUGGCUGCACUAUACUUAAGGCAAGUUCGCACGCUGAUCAGGUAACAGCAGAACAACAGGCCUAUUGGAGUGGGGUGGUUAUCUCUGCUCUCUGCAGAUCACAGCCUUGGCACUCCCGGCUUGUCAUUGUGUCCUCUCACAGAAAUGACAUCUUUUUACACUCACAGGAUCAGGCCACGACUAAGGUUUCAUGUGCCAAAGCAGGUAAUAUUAUACACAGUUUAUUUGAGAUAGAAUAUAUAUAUAUAUAUAUAUAUAUAUAUAUA